rnacentral:rRNA from 1 species
GUAUAAGAGACAGAGGCAGCAGUGGGGAAUAUUGCACAAUGGGGGAAACCCUGAUGCAGCGACGCCGCGUGAUUUAGAAGGCCUUCGGGUUGUAAAAAUCUUUUGUAUAGGAAGAAAAUGACAGUACUAUACGAAUAAGGACCGGCUAAUUACGUGCCAGCAGCCGCGGUAAUACGUAAGGUCCGAGCGUUGUCCGGAAUCAUUGGGCGUAAAGGGUACGUAGGCGGGUAAGCAAGUUAGAAGUGAAAUCCUAUAGCUCAACUAUAGUAAGCUUUUAAAACUGCUCAUCUUGAGGUAUGGAAGGGAAAGUGGAAUUCCUAGUGUAGCGGUGAAAUGCGCAGAUAUUAGGAAGAAUACCGGUGGCGAAGGCGACUUUCUGGUCAUCAUCUGACGCUGAGGUACGAAAGCGUGGGUAGCAAACAGGAUUAGAUACCCUGGUAGUCCAUGCCGUAAACGGUGGGCGCUAGGUGUGAGUCCCUUCCACGGGGUUCGUGCCGUAGCUAACGCAUUAAGCGCCCCGCCUGGGGAGUACGGCCGCAAGGCUAAAACUCAAAGGAAUUGACGGGGGCCCGCACAAGCGGCGGAGCAUGUGGAUUAAUUCGAUGCAACGCGAAGAACCUUACCUGGGCUUGACAUAUACAGGAUCGCGCCAGAGAUGGUGUUUCCCUUGUGGCUUGUAUACAGGUGGUGCAUGGUUGUCGUCAGCUCGUGUCGUGAGAUGUUGGGUUAAGUCCC